GAUGAACGCUGGCGGCGUGCCUAAUACAUGCAAGUCGAGCGAACAGACGAGGAGCUUGCUCCUCUGACGUUAGCGGCGGACGGGUGAGUAACACGUGGAUAACCUACCUAUAAGACUGGGAUAACUUCGGGAAACCGGAGCUAAUACCGGAUAAUAUAUUGAACCGCAUGGUUCAAUAGUGAAAGACGGUUUUGCUGUCACUUAUAGAUGGAUCCGCGCCGCAUUAGCUAGUUGGUAAGGUAACGGCUUACCAAGGCAACGAUGCGUAGCCGACCUGAGAGGGUGAUCGGCCACACUGGAACUGAGACACGGUCCAGACUCCUACGGGAGGCAGCAGUAGGGAAUCGUCCGCGAUGGGCGAAAGCCUGACGGAGCAACGCCGCGUGAGUGAUGAAGGUCUUCGUAUCGUAAAACGCUGUUAUUAGGGAAGAACAAAUGUGUAAGUAACUAUGCGCGUCUUGACGGUACCUAAUCAGAAAGCCACGGCUAACUACGU
rnacentral:rRNA from 1 species